UCGGGUGUGUAAGCGCAGCGAUGCGUUGAGCUAACCGAUACUAAUGAACCGUGAGGCUUAACCUUACAACGCCGAAGC
rnacentral:rRNA from 6 species